CCCGUGAGCUCGUGGCCUUCCCAAAGCGCUCGUCACUUUCCCCAAUUUGGCCGGACGGCAGCCUCCAAAUCUCCAAUUCGUCGUCGCCUUUGCCUCCGGCCAACACCACCACUUCUCGGCGGCUCGCCCUCUCCGUGUCCAGUUAAUCACUGCUCGUCCCCAACUCGUAGAAGCCACAGCUCGCCUCCCCUCUGCCAUGGACGACAUGGCACACGCGCGACGCCGGCGGUCGAUUUCCCUCGAUGCCUAGGUUGCCGCCUCUAUCUCCACUUCGUCCGUUCCUGCAUAGGCUUUGUACGGCUUUGGUAGUCAGCCCGCCGGAGCCCAAAAUAAGGACAGGGACAUCGGUCUCGCCUGCGUCGUCGUCAAGCGCAAGCUCCUGGUGGAUGCUCUGCGCCGUCCUUGGCGCCUUCGUCCUCAUCGAUGUCUCUACCAUCAUCAGCCUACUCCAUGGCCUGCCAUCAGACAAGUACAUCCACGCUCUCAAGAAGGUGCUCCAAUUCUUCAACCGCAGAAAUCGAUGAUGAGUGAUGCGUCCGCUAGGCGAUCAAUUGCGUUUAUAGCAUCAUCACCUGAUCGCUUAUGCCCCUUUGAAGAUACAGCACCUAGUCCGGAUGCAGUAGAGCUCGCACAUAUGUCUUGCAGGUCUAUCCAACUAGGCCACACUUUAUCACUGAUGACGAAUCUGCAAAUUGAAUGCUGCUGAUGAAAACAAGUUCAGGAAGAGAUCCCUUGUCUUCCCAGCAGCGGCCAACUGCCAGUAAUCGGUGUUCCCAGCCUAGCGCCGGCGGCCAGGGAAUCGGUGAUCACAACAGGUGUUAGCGGCUAGCCAUUGAACUAGGUUUCCAGAUCUGUUUUGCCGAGGUUUGUUCUACCACCGUCCAGUUUAUAUAGAAG